UAAUACAGAGGUGGCAAGCGUUGUCCGGAAUUACUGGGCGUAAAGGGCGCGUAGGUGGCCUUCUUAGUCAGACGUGAAAUCCCCAGGCUUAACCUGGGAACUGCGUCUGAUACUGGAAGGCUCGAGUUCGUGAGAGGAAUGUGGAAUUCCAGGUGUAGCGGUGAAAUGCGUAGAUAUCUGGAGGAACACCGGUGGCGAAGG
rnacentral:rRNA from 1 species